rnacentral:rRNA from 1 species
CCUACGGGUGGCAGCAGUGAGGAAUAUUGGUCAAUGGGCGCGAGCCUGAACCAGCCAAGUCGCGUGAGGGAAGACGGUCCUAUGGAUUGUAAACCUCUUUUGUCGGGGAGCAAAAGCCGCCACGCGUGGCGGUCCGAGAGUACCCGAAGAAAAAGCAUCGGCUAACUCCGUGCCAGCAGCCGCGGUAAUACGGAGGAUGCGAGCGUUAUCCGGAUUUAUUGGGUUUAAAGGGUGCGCAGGCGGAAGAUCAAGUCAGCGGUAAAAUUGAGAGGCUCAACCUCUUCGAGCCGUUGAAACUGGGGUUCUUGAGUGAGUGAGAGGUAUGCGGAAUGCGUGGUGUAGCGGUGAAAUGCAUAGAUAUCACGCAGAACUCCGAUUGCGAAGGCAGCAUACCGGCGCUCAACUGACGCUCAUGCACGAAAGUGUGGGUAUCGAACAGGAUUAGAUACCCGGGUAGUC